rnacentral:rRNA from 1 species
UACGUAGGGUCCGAGCGUUGUCCGGAGUUACUGGGCGUAAAGCGCGCGCAGGCGGCGCGUCACGUCUGGCGUGAAAGCCCCCGGCUCAACCGGGGAGGGUCGUCGGAGACUGGCGGGCUUGAGGGCGGUAGGGGCUGGUGGAAUUCCCGGUGUAGUGGUGAAAUGCGUAGAGAUCGGGAGGAACACCUGUGGCGAAGGCGGCCAGCUGGGCCGACCCUGACGCUGAGGCGCGAAGGCGUGGGGAGCGAACGGG